rnacentral:lncRNA from 1 species
GAAAGGGCAAUUUAUGAAUGAGGCUUCGAGUGUGUAUAGUUCAGUAAUUCUCCUGAAGUACACAGUCUUCUGUACAAAUUCCUCAGGGUAACUUGUAAGUAGAGAAUGUUUUUUCCCUUGAAUAUUUCUAUUAUCACUUGAUUUUGAAGCAUCAUACCUAUUGCAGGAGACCUUCUGAAUGUGUGUGUGUGAGCAAGCCUGGCCUGCAGGUGAGAGUCCUACUCACAACAUGCCUCACUAGGGAAAGGGUGUCUGACACAAGAUGACUUUGUAGUCACACAUUCAGAUCAAAUAAUAUUAAGUAGUAAGUGAUAUUUUAAAAAUCUGCACUGGCUGUCUUCAGCUGUGGAGUUCACAUAGACCUGACAUUUAAACAAAUUAUAACUGACAAAUUUGAUAAAUGAGGGAAAUCCCAAUUAGGGAUAGGAGAUUAUGGAACUGUAGUGAUAAGGACAGACUAAAAAUUUCCUAUUGUAGUUUUGCAGAAUAAACAGCUCAUGUUUAAAUUAAUAAUUGGGAAAAAAUAACAAUUGGGUUCAAGUAGCAUUUUACCAGAAUAUCAGCCUUUAUUUAUCUUCUUAAAAUGUAAGUGAAUCUUCGAAUACCUUUGUGAAAUACUUCAAGAUAAGUAGAGAUUUUUUGUUUUGCUUCUAAUUUCUGGGCUUAUUCUGUCAUUCCAUGCUUAGACAUAAAAGCAUAAAUCAGGUGACUUCCCAAUGGUGCUAAUAGCCAAAAGUGCGUGAUUUAAGACAAACUUCUUUUUUUGUUUUGUUUUAGUUGUAGUUGGACACAAUACCUUUAUUUAUUUUUUAGUACCUUUAUUUAAUUAAUUUAUUUAUUUAAUUUUAUUUAUUUUUUAUGUGGUGCUUAGGAUUGAACCUAGGGCCCUGAGCCACAACCCCAGCCCUAAGAUAAGCUUCUGAUGAAGGUUUUCCUGGGACCUACAACCAUGGAUUCCAGAAUUACCUACCUCAGGAGGGCUGUUUGGUCUUUUGCUUGCAGAAACAGUGUUUGGCAACUGGUGCCCUUGACCUUUGAUUUGUCAUUUUAGCUCAGAGUUCCAAGUUGCCAAAUGAGAAUGGGCUGCUUUUCAAUUUGUUUGCUUGCUACUUCAGCAGGGUUGUAGUCAGUGCUGGAAAGUUGUACUCUAUGAGGCAGCUAUUCUCAGCCAGAGUUGCAUAAGAGAGUUACCUGGGGACCUUUUUUUAAUUAUUUUAUUUUUUUACCUGGGGACCUUUUAACAUUGACACUCUGGUUGACCCCAAGGAAUUCUGAGUUAGUAUCUAGGUGUGAGUCCAGGCACCAUUACUUUUAAAAAAUGCCAUAGAUGAUUGAGCAUAUUGGUGCACACCUAUAAUCCCAGUUUGAGGCCAGUCUGGGCAAAAUAAAAAUAAAAUAAAAAAUAAUAAAACAGUUUGGGAGUGUAGCUCAGUGGUGAAGCACUUCUGAGUUCAAUCCCCAGAACUGCAAAAACAAAAACAAAACAAAAUCUCUCUAGACGAUUUUUCUGAUUGUAGCUAGAGUUGAACACCACUGCUGUUGACAAAGACUACAGGCAAACCUCACAACAAAGAUCAAAGAUAAUUAAAAAGAAUAUUUCAUGGCUUUUUCUAAUUCUGAUCUAAUUCUGGUUACCUAGACCUUCAUGUAGGCCUCUUUCCCCUCACAGCCCCUUUUCUUUACCUACUCUGACCUGUCAAACCUUACUUGCCCUAUCUCCCAUGCCCUUUGGGCCCAACUUGCCGGGAAACAAUUAACUAAUAUAGCACUGAAGUACACUAAUGGAUGUUAAUAAUUUACUGCAGUUCUCCUCCCAUUGAUUCUCAUCUGAGUACAUUUAAUGAUAAUACAUCUGGAAAAAAAAAAAAGAGAUAACUAUAGUUUUGGCAAUUUCAGACCUAUUCAGUGCCAUUUAUUGAUUUAUUUAUUAGGAAAUAAUGAGCAGGCAGGUCACAUUCAGGAAGACUUCCUGCCUUGAACCCUAACAUUUGGUACUACUUAGCCUACUCAGGUAGGACCUGUGGCUGUAUUGAGUAGGAUAGUGGGAAAUAAAAUGUCUGUGGACAUUAAGCUCUUCGUACAGCUCAGGACACACUGGGGAAGUCAGCUUUUACAGUUUUAAAAAACAUUAGUUCUGUUUAUUUGAGAUGAGUACAGUAAAGACCUUCCUUUGUUCUUUUGCCACUGGUCUGUAGAAGGAGCUUCCCUGGGGCUGCUGCUACCCCCUCACACAUGAGAGCAAAGGUUAAUCUCAUUUUGAGAGAAAUUACCUAAAAUGUGUUCAGUCACCCAACAAGAAGACACCAUGUUCCACAUAUAAGUUGGUCUCACCUUUUUAUUGUGUCCCUAUUAAACUGUGUCUCUAACCCUCCCUGGUAUUUCCUAUACCUCAUUCCAAUUCUUUUCUUGCCAGUGAACUUUGUGGAGAUAUGUAGGAAAGGAGGCUGAUUUUUUAGUGCUACAUUUAUAAAAGAAUCUUAAGAAUUUUUCUGACUGUCCUACUCCCUUUCCUUGUCUUUUUCUAUAUUUGUGUUCUUAUAGCCUGUGAUUACUAGAGAUAUUCUAAAAAAAAAGCAGUACUAAAGUUUAAAUUUGCCAUAAGCUUUUUUUGUUAUUUAUUUUGCUGUCUCACAACUUUAGGCCACCUUGUCUGCAAUGCCAUUGUAGAGGAUCCUCUACUGUCCAGCAGAGGGCAUCAUACUCUCACUAAAAACUUCAAAACGUCUUUCCCUCCUGCAGUAAUGUAGUUUGUUUCAGUAUUUUGUAUUCAUGGUGUAAUUUCAAUAUGUAAAUUGUAUUUUUUAAGAAUCAUGCACCCUACACUGCUUUCUUAUAACCUUUUAACAGUUGCAAAACUUUCUUGAAGAAAACCAUAUCCACAACUUAGCAGGGGAUGAAUUGUCCAUCCUAACAGUGAUUCCUUGGUAGAUGAUCUAUAAGCGGACACUUCUCCAUUAAUUUCAGUUCUAUUUGCCCUGACCUUGAUUGUAUAUGACCAUAAUAAAAGAUAUGUAUUUAGUUGAAGGGGGAAAUAUAUCAGCCACCUGCCCAUUUUCAAAUUUUCAUAUGAGAGCAAACCAUACCACAUACACAUUGCUACCUUUACCACUGCUAAUUUUUACUGGCAUUGUCAAAGACAACUCAAAGGAUAUAUAAAUGUCUAAGUUUUUCUCCUUCAAAUGCCUAAACAUCAUCUAUAGCUCAGUAGUUUAAUGGAGGGCAAUAACAUUUAGCAGAGUCUGAGACCUGUGAAAGAAAGACCUUAGGAUAUCUUCAUGUUCCCCAUGCCUACACCAUGUUGUGAAGAGUGAACAUUUGCAGAAGGAAGUAGAAUUUGCUUUUUUUGGGGGGAGGGGUGGGUAUCAGGGAUUGAAUUCAUGGAAACUUAACCCUUUUUAUUCUUUAUUUUGAGACAGGGUCUCCUUGAGUUGCUUAGGGCCUUGCUAAAAUGCUGAAGCUGUCUUUGGACUUGCCAUUUUCCUGCCUCAGCCUUCUGAGUCUCUAGGAUUACAGGAGUGUGCCACUACACUCGGUUAAACUUUGCAUUACAAAAGUGUCAGAUAACCCACCUAGGCAGACUUGGUCCUUGAGGAAUAAGGUCAGCUCUGCCAGAUAUAGAAUGGGGAUUCCCUUCUUCAUGUGUGUGACAUAUGACACCUUCCUUUGAGUGUAACAUUAGAAACAUGGGGACUAUGUGGGUUUGGGGCUGGUAUUUUGUUUGUUUGUACUUUUUUAUGUGUAUGUAGUAUUGGGGAUUUAAUCCAGGAGCACUCCACUGCUGAACUACACCCCCAGACCUUUUUACUUUUUUAUUAUUUUGAGACAAGGUCUCACUAGAUUGCCGAGUUUGUCCUUGAACUUGUGAUCUUCCUGCCUCAGCUCUGGAGUCACUGGUAUUACAGGCGUGCAGCACCAUGCCAUAUAUAUAUAUAUAUAUAUAUAUAUAUAUAUAUAUAUAUAUAUAUAUCCUCUAGAUUGUCAGAUUUGCUCUGUGGAGAAAUAAUGCAAAUAACAAUUAAUACUUAAGAAGCAUUUGGGCUGAGUGUUAGAGCAAUUGCCUCUGCAUAACACCAUGUUCAAGACCCUGAGUUUGAUGCUCAGCACUGCAAAGAAAAAGAAAGAAAAUGUUUGCUUUAUGUCAGGAAUGAUUUAAUUUGCUUCUUCUCUCAUGAUCCUUUCAACAAUUUUAUGAAGUAAUAACUAUUAACCUCUUCACAUAGAUGGGGAAACUAAUGCUCAGAGAUAUGGUGUUUUGCCCAAGAUCAUCUAGGUAGAAAAUUGCAGACUGGGAUUCAACCCAGCAGUCUGGUUCCAGAACAUCUCUUUUUAACCAUGAUCUCCCUGAAUUAUGAACUCUUUGUCAUCAUCCUUGACCUGAUUGUUGCUGUUUUGUGGUGCUGGGAAUGGAACCAGGUCCUUGCCCAUUCUAAGCUUCACCAUUGAGCAAUAUCCCUGGCUCAUUUUGACCUCUUUGAAGUCCACAAUCUUUGACUUCCUUUCUGGAUGUUAUGAUGGACAACCUGGAAGGAUUAGAUGGGUAGAGAGAACAGGAUCUAGUCAAAGUUGUUUUUUUUUUCUUUUUUUGACAUCCUCUUCUUAAUCCACUUUCCAUAACCAGAGCCUGAAGAUUGUCUUCUGAAGACGCAGUGUGUAGAUAGUACAUUCAAUCUUUGUAGGGGCUUUUCUAGAACACUGUGGGGCCCAGCUAAUUUUAAUCACAUAGCUAGAUCAAAGAGGGAGCUAAUUUCCUGAAGUCCUAGAAGUUAGUGGAAAUUCCAGUUUCUGAUUACAGACCCAGCAGGAUUUCUGCGGAGAUAUGAAAGGCAUGUCCAGGGGAUCUUGGCAGUGAGCCCUUCUCACUCCUGUGACUUUUCUCCUAACAGUUCUUUGGGGAGAUCAGAAAAGGAAGCAGGAAGGAAUAUCAUCUUCAGGGUAGACUCCCACCACAGGCUUUCUGGGGAACAGGAAUAUUUUAAGUAAGUCCUGCCUUUGUGAAAUCAAACUUCUGUGUAGCUGGAGCCUGAGGCAGUGUGCCAGCUGCUGAGAGCUCUGCUUACGUUGGCUGGGUCUAGUGCAAGACAUGGUGAUAAGAGGCUUGCAAAAGUAAGAGACAGGAAGCAAAUCUGGCCUCUACCUUCUGGAUAUAGCAGGGCCCUAACAAGGAAUAGCUGGGCAGGAGGAAUCUAUUAACUACAUAUACAUCUGUGGAUGUCACAGGCAACAAUAGCCAGGAGGAAGCAGAGGAGCCUGCAGUAUGGUAACCAAGACCAAAAGGUUUGUUUAAUAGGUAAUAAUCUUCAUGGUUCAGAAUUAAAAAGCCUAGAUGCAAUGGGGUAUACAGAAUUGAAUCCUGCAACAGAAAAGGGGCAACAAUGAGAAAAUGGAUGAAAUUUGAGUAAAGUCCCAGAUUUGGCAAGUAGAACAAAAUAAGGUACAAAUGUAUGCAUUGAAAAAUCUCCUAUGUCUGUUUCCCACAUACGUAGUUAUUUUACCACAUCAACCAGUGUUACAAGUACAUGUCCUUCUAGAGUUUUUAAAAAUACAUAUACAAGCACAUAUGUGUGUAUUCUUUUUUAAACAAAUGGUAAGAUACUAUAUGUACUGUCCUGGUUCUCACUUAAAAAAAAAAUUAAGAUUUUUUUUUUCCCCCAAUGGUGCAGGGGAUGGAACCACCUAGGGCCUUGUAAUGCUAGGCAAGUGCUCUACCACUGAGCUACACUCCCAGCCCCUAAGAGAAUUUCUGAUAUCUAUUAAAAUCAAAUUAUCCACUUAGGAGGAAUCUAUUCUGAACAUUUGCAGCUCAAAUUAUACCUGCAACUUCAACAAAACUAUAUACCCUGCUUUUUCACUCGAUACUGUAACAAAUUUUUGUUGAGCUAUGUAUAACAUCCAGCAAGAAAACCAGGGGUCCUGUCUGGAAAACAUUAGAGCCUAUAGCAGGACUUGGAGGCCAAGACUUUUCAGAAAGGUCCGUGUGCUUGUUUGAUCAUCUUAAGUCUACCACAGGGGGUAGAGGAAGUCUAAUUCUGGCUGCUGUUCUUGGGGAGUUGGGGUGCAUUCCCACCUUAAGCAUAGGUCUCCAGAUGUUCUCUUUUUGUGUUUGGCAUGGGCACCAGAUUCAGUGAGUCCUUGGUAAUAAGUGACACAACUUCUAACAUUUGUGUAGUGUUUUCUAUUAACAAAGCACUUAACAUUGUGAUCAUAUUCCUCACAACUCUUGAGAGGUAAAAUUCCUAUUCUACAAUGUAAAAAAAAGUCUUAUAGAAAGUCUUAUAGAAGGCCUUGAAUCAGGUCUUCUGAGUCAUGUACCCCUUUCAUUCUUUUAUACAGUCUUCCCUGUUGGCAAAACUUGAUUGACCAGAAUGUUUUCUUACCUGCUUCUACUUUCUCAGUAGAUAAUUACUAUUGAUGGCUAAUAUUUGAGGCUUCCUAUUGCCAGGCACUAAUUAAGCACUUUAUAUGAAUUUGAUCUUCUUAUCAACCACAUAAAGGUAAGCUUGACAAUUCCACUCUAUAGAGACAAAACCCAAGAUUCAGAGAGGAUACAUUUUUUGCCUGACUUUAUGCAGCUAAUAAUUGGCACAGCUGGAAUUCCUUCCUUCCUCUCCCCACCUGCCUCCAGACAGACUCUUACUAAAUUUCCCUGGCUAGUCUCGAAUUUACAAUAUUCUUGCCUCAACCUCCCCAGUCACUGGAAUUAUAGGAGUGUGCCACUCUAUCUUCCUUGACUUCCAGAGCAUAUUCUCUUAACGACUAUAUGUACUGUCCUGAACUAGAACUGACAGUUCCGUUUCUUUAAUUUGCUUGUUCCAAAACUUCAAGCAAAGUUUUGCUCUGGAAAACCAAAUUUAAACAAAGUCAUAAGCUGUGGAAUAGUAGGGUCAAGGCAGGGAGUAGUGAUAUACCUGAUUAUGAUUUCCACAGCUUCAUCUGAUUAAAUUGUGUGACUUCAGGUAAAGUCUUUUUUUCUUUGUUAGAGAAUUCCUGUCUAUAAAAAAUAGGAUUAGAAAUUUGCCCCCAAAGUAAACAGAGAAGAAAAAAAAAGGCAAAAAUAUUGAGGGGAAAUGAGUUCCACAGAAUGAUGACAUUGUUUGCAUAAAUAUAAACUUAAGAUAUCAUUAAUUGAUAAUUACUACUUUGUAAUUAUUUAAGUAUAGACCCAGGAAUUAGUUUACCAGGGUCAUCUCGCUAAAUGAAUACAGUUGUCACCUCCUUAUCUGAAGGUUCUGCACCCAUGGAUUCAAUCUACCAUGAAACAAAAGUAUUUUUCAAAAAGUUAUCUGUGCUGAACAUGGAAAGACUGUUUUCCUUGUCCUUAUUCCUUAAACAAUAUACCACAGCAACUAUUUACAUAGCUUUGACAUUGUAUUAGGUAUUAUAAUUAACCUAGAGAUGAUUUAAAGUACAUGGGGAAGACAUAUGUAAGUUAUAUGCUGUUUUAUAGAAGUGGUUUCAGCAUCCUAAGGUUUUUGGCAUGGGGAGGGGGUCCUAGAACUCAUCAAAUACUGAGAUACCUAGGAAUGACUGUAGUUGGAAAGUACCUCUGUGUGCCUUAAGUUUUCUGUACAUGAAUUAGGCCAUCUGCCACUCUCUUGAUGGCCCUUUCAAUAGGACAAUAGUCUGGUCUGCCCUGAGAGAACCACCCACAGUUCUCCUGCAGCUUAUCUUCUCUCCACUGGCUGACUCUGGAUCAGAUCAGCAUUUUUUUAUUAUUAUUAGUUACACAUGACAGUACAAUGAUCUUGAUAUAUCAUACAUUUGAAUCAAAUGGGGUAUAAUUUCUCAUUUUUCUGAGUGUACAAGUUGCAGAAUCACAUUGGUCAUAUAGUCACGUAUAUACAUACAGCAAUACUAUAUGAGCACCUAUUUGUAAAUCCCCAUCACUGUGAGAAAGAAGUAAGCUUACUAAAUAUGCAUCUAGGGGCCCAGAGAGGAUGAUAAUGAUGUCAUUCAGAUUCCUCAGAAUUGAUCCUUUUCUCUUGUGACAUACUGAGAGCUGUUUUACACCCAAGAGGUGAUGGCUGUCAAUUCCACCUGCUGUGCCUCCUCAUAUUAUUGAUGUUUUGUCUUAUGGGAACUGGGCAAGUCCAAACCUGUCUUUCCUGGAUUCACCCUGGAUGAAUGAACUGCACAUGGGUGUCAGAACUCAAUGCUUUUGUGCCAAGAAUGUCAUUGUUUCCUGAGAGCUGCCUUAAACCCUCAACCUAAUCUCAGCCAAUGCCUCCGGUGCUCCCUGGUCAUUAGUUUUUAGUGGUGAGUGAGGAAAGUAGAGAGGAGGCCAAAGGGAGCAGUAGAGAGGAAAGGAAGAUGUGGAGAUUGCUCAAUGCCACAGUACUGAACUGGUAGAGCUUGGCUACCUUCCAGGAAUCCAGCAAGAUGGAUCAUCUUGUUAAUCUGGUAGAAUCCAUAGCUAAUAGGAACAGAACUGCUUAUUGAUAAGAAGCUAGAAUUAUUGUUUGCUUUUAUUCUGGGCAGAAGUGACCUCCAAAGAUUCUUUUCAGAUCCUACCUGAGUAGAUGUUUGUUCAUUGACAUGGAAAUUAUUUUUCCAAGUGAACUUUUUAAAUGGAUGUCUUUCAAAUGUCAAUUCAUGUUAGAAUUACUAGGGAGCACUGUAAAACAUCUGGCUCCAUUCUUAGGGACUCUGAUUUAGUUGGUCUAGAGUGGAGGCCAGGAAUCUGCAUUUUUUUUUUUUUGGUACCAGGGAUUGAACCCAGGGUGCUCAACAACUGAGGCAUCCCCAGUCCUGUUUUUGGUUUUGUUUUGAGACAGGGUCUCACUAAAUUGCUCAGGGCCUUGCUAAAUUGCUGAGGCUGGCUUUGAACUAGUGAUCUUCCUGCCUCAGCCUCCUGAGCAGCUGGGAUUACAGGCAUGUGCCCCCACUCCCAGCAGGAAUCUACAUUUUUAACAGACAUUUUAAGUGAUUUAGAUGGUAAGCAGACCACACUCCACCAAACACUGUCUUGGCCCAGUUUUUGAAAUAGCUUCUUUCUUUCAUAGUCUGUUUGAUCACUUUCUUUAUUGAAGGAUUUAUUGGCAUUUCCAUGUUUAUUACCUGAGUUAUUCUCACAGCAUCACAGAAACUAGAGCAGGAACCAGAAGUGGUUAGCUCUAUUUUAUUGAGAGUGAGGGGGCGUAAGGUACAAUUGAGGCAUAGGGAGAGGUCAUGAGUCAGAUGGCAGUGGGAACUGAAGUCCAGCAUUGAUGACUCUAAAACCAGACAAUUUUCUGGCGCCUAUUUUCUCAGCUUGUGAUUUCAUAUUUAAUCAUAGUUAUUCUUUAGGUCUCCAGUUCAUUGGCUUGGGUAAGCAAAUCAUAUCUGAAUUUUAAACAAUAUAGCUUAGCAUCUGUGUGUCAGUUUUUGUUAGCCUAUUAGCUCUUCUAAGCUGAGCUAAUAUCAGCGAUGAUAUAUGUGGAACUGACUUAAUCUGCUCUCUGAGCUUGCUUCCUUUGUCAUUUCUGAAGACUUCUUACAUAAAGAAAAAAGGAUCAGAUUCAUCCUUUCCAUAACAGUAGGAACUCUCUCUGAUCUUUUAACUGGUAAAGUACUAAAUGAAAAAACUCUUAUCCCUCUGUCUCUCAAAUUUGAGUAGUAUAUGGGUCAUUUAUAUAUAUAUAUAUAUAUAUAUAUAUAUAUAUAUAUAUAUAUAUAUGGUGUAGUUGGACACAAUGCCUUUAUUUUAUUUACUUAUUUUUUAUGUGGUGCUGAGGCUCAAACCCAGGGCCUCGCAUGUGCUAGACAGCACUCUAUCGCUGAGCUACAACCCCAGUCCUAUGGGUCAUUUUUAAAGGAAAAAAAAUUCUGAAAACUCUCAGUCAACUUAAAUUAUCCUGACUAUAAUGUAACUUAAAUUUACAAAUAUAAACUAGGAAUAUAAUGUUCUUUUAUUUUUUAUUUGUAAUUCUCAUACAAUUACAAAACCAAAACAGACUUACAAAUGAAAUACAAUCACAAAACUAAUACUGGCAUGGUGCGGUGGUGCAUGUAAUACCAGCGGCAGGGAGGCUGAGGCAGGAGGAUCACAAGUUUAAAGCCAGCCGCAGCAAACUUGAGGCACUAAGCAACUCAGUGAGACCCUGUCUCUAAAUAAAAUACAAAUAGGGCUGGGGAUGUGGCUCAGUGGUUGAGUGCCCCAGAAUUCAAUUCCUGAUAUUAAAAAAACAAAACAAAACAAAACAAACAAACAAAAAACCAAAACCCCCCACAAAAACAAAAACUAAUACUAUUCAAGUUAUUAACAUGAAAAAUGAUGUCUUUUGCUAAAACUAAAGCAUUUCUUAUAUUGUGACUAUGAUAUUGCCUGUUAAAGUUCAGCUUAUUUUGAGUUCACCAAAUGACCUAUGGUAUCUUAAUUUCCUCACCUCUUUUGGAACUAUUGAGACUGCACAGCCCUGUGAUAUCAUUUGGCUUUUAUUUUGUGCUUAAAAGCAUCUUUUUCAUUUUAAAUCUGUCUCUCUUCUUUUCUCAUUAUCUCAGAACAAUCAAAACAGUACUGAAAUACACAAGUAGAUGUAGGUUCUGAACUUAUGUCGCAAUACUGACUUACAGUCAUCCUAAUAAUCUGAACAUGCUUAUGUAAAUCUAAAAAAUUAUAAAAACUAAAAUUUAAAUGCUAGAGAAUACAUCUACCCAGAACUAAUUUGAGAAAAACUGUUCAGGUCUACUGAUUCCCAAACUUUCACUACUACUAAAGGCUCUGUCACAUGGACAUGUGAGGAGCAUAGUGAAGAGAAGAAUGUGGUUUUUGUUGACUUCCCAGAGGCUCAUGCUUUUAAAAAACUCUCCUAAAUUUAUUUAUUAGCAAUUUUAGUUUUAUUACAUGUAUAAUCAUUUCAGAGCUUAUCAUUCUAAGUUGCUUAAAUUCCACUCCAAAACAAACAUAGACAGGACAUUUUAGUUAUUUUGUGCUGACCUAAAAGGGUAAGGGAAGACUUUCCAUAGCUUUGUAAGAAAAAACUCCCAGAUCCUGUCUCUUCCUACUGCUGCCUUUGAGGACUCUUGGAGGUCUGGGGAGGCCAAUUUAGGACUUAUUGUACAAGCAAAGAUUCUACCCCACCCAAUUUGGAAGGAUUAAAGCUUGUCCUAGUUUUGCUUGAUUGUUGUACUUCUUGCAUGCUAAAGAGCUAAAAAAUGGGAGGAAGAAAAUACAACAGAAGGCACCAUUCCAGUACCAAACUGAAAAGAAACACAAAAACAAGAGAGCAGCAUGUUUUCAACAGCUUGCGUGGAAAAAAUAUUGACUGGGGAGUUUGGACAGCACUGUUCAUUUUCUCUCACCGCCCGCAUUAUUUGUCUUUCAGAGCAGGAGCCAGGCCAAAGGAAGAGGUGGAGGGGGUUCUGUAAAGGCUUGAGGCCAAGAGGGGGAAAUUAGGGCUGGCGACCCAAUGGCUGGGCGCCAGGAUUAAGCCAGAGGAGACGCCAAAGCCUUUUUCCUCCUCGCCUCGGGCACCCUCUUUGGCUGACUGAGUCCUGAGCAGGCACAACACGCAUCACUCAGGUAAGGUCCCUGGUUGCUUCAGACCACAAUGGCCAGGAUGAAUCCCUGCCCCUGUUUCUUUCGGUUGGGUAAAGGUCACAGGGGUUCCAUUAGCUUUCUUAGCCCACCCUUUAGGAAUUCAGACCUACACCUCCUGCAGUGUGGGUCGGGAGAGAGACUUCAUCAGCGAACCAGUUUAGUUCUCCCACCCGCUUGGAAGAUAGGCACCAGUUUCGGCUCAGCCCUCCUAG